rnacentral:miRNA from 1 species
AUGUAGCGCUCUCUCUCUCUCUCUCUCUCUCUCUCUCUCUCUCUCUCUCUCUCUCUCUCUCUCUCUCAUAGAGCCAGUAAUAGAGCAAGAGUAAUAGAGAGAGAGAAGAGAGAGGGAGAGAGAGAUUAGAUAGAUUUUUUUUUUU